GUCGUGAGAUGUUGGGUUAAGUCCCGCAACGAGCGCAACCCCUGUUCUUAGUUGCCAGCGCGUAAUGGCGGGGACUCUAGGAAGACUGCCGGUGCCAAACCGGAGGAAGGUGGGGACGACGUCAAGUCAUCAUGGUCCUUACGUCUAGGGCUACACACGUGCUACAAUGGGCGGGACAGCGGGGGCCGAGGCAGCAAUGCUCAGGCAAUCCCAAAACCCGUCCUCAGUUCGGAUUGUCGUCUGCAACUCGACGGCAUGAAGCUGGAAUCGCUAGUAAUCGUGGAUCAGCAUUGCCACGGUGAAUACGUUCCCGGGCCUUGUACACACCGCCCGUCACGCCAUGGAAGUGGUGAGCGCCCGAAGUCCGUGUCGGAACCCGCAAGGGGCCAAGCGGCCGAAGGCGAGCAUCAUGACUGGGGCGAAGUCGUAACAAGGUAGCCGUAGGGGAACCUGCGGCUGGAUCACCUCCUUAACGGAGAGUGGCGAGUAGAAACCGGGCAACCGGAUUCGAAAGCUCUCAUCUAGUUAUCGCCCGUCUUUCACAUCCAGAUCUCAAUCUCGAUUUCCAUAUAUGCCGGCUCGUGACCGCUUUGCCUCGUGCACGAGCUGGCUGCAAUACCGGAGGCUCUUCGGAGCUUCCAAUAUUCAGGCGAGCGGGCGCUUACUCCCGCGCGAUGUUUGACAACGGAUGAUAGAAGUGAUCGUGGGAUUUGAAGGUGUCGGAAUCCUGAUAAGAAUUCCGAUGCCGCGAAUCAACACUAGUGAUUCAAUUUCGCGGCCCCGAAAGGGGUCGUAUUGGUCUCAGGGCGCGAGCUCUGGGAUCUGAUUGUAUCGCUCGUUAGAUCGCGCGUGUUUCUGUUUGAACAAGUUAUUUGAUCAAGCGAAAGAAAGUAUGUGGGGGAUGCCUAGGUACACAGAGGCGAUGAAGGCCGUGGUAAGCUGCGAUAAGCCAGGGGGAGCGGCACACACGCUAUGAGCCCUGGAUGG
rnacentral:sRNA from 1 species